GAACUAGAAUUGAAUUAUGGCAGGUGCCAUGUUAUCCAGAACAUUUGAUUUUGUUGAGGCGAUGAUAAAGCACGGACAACGUACACUGUCGAAUCAUUGAUUCACAGCCCAGAAUGUUGCGUUCAAAGCCAAAAGUGAAGCGGAGUGUGCUGCAGUCCUUUGGUGCAGGUGUUGUGUGUAAGUGAGCAGAGACGAGUUAAAGCACCAGCCGGGGCUGGCUGAGGCAGCAGAGGAGAGAGUGUAUAAGACCGCACAAAGAGCUUGAAGGAUUUCUCAGGACACAAAUGAGAGAAGCAGCUGAGCCCGGGGUAGGAUGGAGGGGAUGCAAAGGAUUGAGAGGAGGAGGACGCGGAACGGUGGAGAGAACUGUGCACUAGUGGGCUCCGUUUAGUCCCUAACCCGUACCUCUGGAUGUCUCUGCCCAGACUGGUCCGACCCAAAGUUUACACUAUUGUAAGGCACGGGGUACAUCUGGAGGAUCGGACACGCUUUCUUUGCCAUAAUAGAGUAUGUUCUGUUAAGCAAUGGGCUCUCUAAUGCCUAACUGGAAUUUUCCUUGAAGCUGCUCCAUUUUUUACAUACACAACGUGAUUGAUCUGCUUUGCAUUCUGGAUCAGAGGCUCUAGGAUAAAAAAAAGAAAAAGUAAAGCCUUAAUACGGUCACUUGGCUGAGUUUUGUAUCGCUGCUAAACUAUUUUUAUAGUGGAUUCAUAUGCGUGUUGAAAUCUUCUAUGACCUUUUUUUAAUGGUAACCCAACCAGCGUUUACACUGUUUCCCAAGGUGUGUGGCAUAACAAGAAUGCCAUGUCAUACUGUUGAGCCUGUAUGCAUGCAUGUGUUACUGCCACUGUCGAUGUGUUUGGGGGCAUGCGAGUGUGCUCUUGUUAGUGUAAUGAGUAAAUUGUUUGAAAUGUCCCUACACCAUGUGAGCUCUGGGAUACUUUCAGAGAUGCACAUAACUUCAAGCAAUGCUACUUUUCUGCUCAUGAGGCCAGUUGGAAUCACCUUCUGAGUUUCUCUGCUUGUUGUGAUAUUGACACUAUAGUGCAUCUCUAAUGCAUUCCUGAUUGUAUGAUGGUUGCUGAUUUGUUAGCUCUGUGUUUAUUGCCUAUUCUAUUACUUUAUUGAGUAUAUUGCUGAAAUGUUUUUUUUAAGUUAUUCAAAAGUCAAUAUUUAUUUUGUUGUUUUUGUUGACAUAUGAUUAAUGGUUGAGUCGUUGGGCAAUAUAUGGUAAUUAAUACAGUAGAAUGAGCUCUUCAAGGUUGUUUACAUGAAAUUCAAUUGAAGCUUAACUGAAUCAGAAACCAAAAGUGUACUUUUACCUUCAUACCUGUAUGUUUGGCAACAGAAUUUAACCUCAACAGCAAAUUCCCAAAGAUUGAAUAAGAUGUGAUCUGACUGGAAAGAUGCAUUUUGUGUUUGGAAUACUUGAUGAUUAAAAAUGCGUACUUCAUUA